rnacentral:rRNA from 1 species
AUGGCGGCGGCCGGGUCGGGUUGGAGGCAAAAGGCCAUGGGGAAUCUGGUGUCUUUGGGCGCAACAGAGGUUGAUGGAGCUGGCGAUUCGGGCAUGCUCCCGCCCUUAGGCGCUCCACGACGGCGGCCAGUUCGGAGGGAGAAGGCAGAGAGCGAUGGUGAGUCCUGCACCUCUGGGUGGAAGCAGCAGGGUUGGUCGAGCAGUGAAUGUGGUCGGGGUCAGCAGUUGAAGGAGGCUCGCCAGCCGGAGCAGCAGGAGAGCGCCUCGAGGAGUGGAAGGGGGAGGUCGUGCAGGACAUGCCAACAAGAGCAUUAUAGCAAGGAGGAUAGAAUAUUCGAUCAGCCAUAUAUCUUCUUCUCGAUGCAGCCCCGCAUGAGGAGUCAUUCUAGGCAUCCUGGGGUGAUUCAAGAUGCUCAGGUGUAUCACACUGCAUUCUACACAGACCAGCUCAUGGUGUGA